ACCUAGGCCUAUAGUUUGCGAGUCACCUGAUCUUACACAGCCAUACACAACGCAUCAUGAAAGCAAUGAUUUUCAUCGCAUUUUCGGCAGUUUUCCUUGUAGGACUGGAAAGUUGCUUUGCACUACCAGAGGCGAGAGAGAAGAAAGCCCUAGAAGGGACCUUUCCCCCCUUCCCUGAGGAGUCAUUCAUAGCUGACGAUUUCUUCAUUUGUAACGACGGUGUGACAAUUCCUCCU